ensembl:lncRNA
GUUCAAGUGAUUCUCCUGCCUUAGCCUCCUGAGUAGCUGGGAUUACAGGCACGAGCCACGACGCCCAGGCAGCUGUCCCACCAGGAAUACCACGUCCAAGAGCAGGAUUCUCCUUCCAAAGUGUGUGUGUGGACUGGAGAAGCAGCCUUUGGAAGAUGGGGCUUCCCAGACUUUAUAGAGCCUGCUUUAAUUCCUUGGAGGUCUGCAAUCUCCAGGUUGUCAGCCAUCCAGGACCGUGGCUGUUGCCCUGCUUCACAUAUGAGAAAGCUGGGACACAGAAAGCAACUUGUCCAUUGUCCUCCAGUUAGCAGUGGCGGAGCCAGGGUGCAAAUCCAGACUGCACCUGCCCGGAGCCCACAUACUCAAUACCACCCUGCCUUCUGGACAGUCAGGACAAGCAAUUGUGCCUCUGCUACCAUUACUGUGCCAACAAAAGAGAAUUCAUAUCCUCAGCAAGCUAGCACUAAAGGGGACCGCAGAGGUCAUAUUGUCCAUCUUCUUUCUCGAACAGGGAAGAAAUUUAAGACUCAAGAAAGGUGAGGCUUCUAAGGAAGAUUAAUUUCAGGUAUUAAUUUUUUAAAGAGUACAAUGUUUUUAUUCAUCAAUAAACUGAAAGUCAAUUUCUAGAUAUUUCUUUCUCACGUAUGCUCGAUUUGUUGUAUUGGUAGUCAAAGCCCUGGGAAGGAAGCUUUACCUGCUCCUCAGACUCACCCAUCUUCACUGUGACUGAUCGGGACGCAGUGAGACCCGUGAGCCUCCUUGCAGGAUGCAGCUACUCAAGGCCAAUCACGAAGAUUGUUCUCCCUAAGGUAUUUCUUGGUGAGGCAUUUAAAGGACCUUUUAGAAAAUUGUUUCUCAGAAACAACUGUGAUUUGAUUUUUGAAGCAUUCACUGUUAACGUCUGUGAGAUUUUCAGUUUUUCCAUUGAUUUUAACCCUUUAGUAACAUUCAAAAUUUCCAGAAUCUAAAGUUCCAUCUUCUAUUGAAUGAGUAAGGUCCAAAUUAAACGUCCAUGUUGACCACGUACACUUCUUGUCUUUCUUUGGCAUCAUCUUGAGAGCUGGCCGUAUGUGUUGUGGCCUUCCGUACCCAUUAGAUGCAAUAACACUGCUACAUCUGCACUGGAGCCCAAACUACCAAUCCACGCCAUGUUCCACCAGUGAACUACCAAUCCACGCCAUGUUCCACCAGUGAGCUACCAAUCCAUGCCGUGUUCCACCAGUGAGCUACCAAUCCACGCCGUGUUCCACCAGUGAGCUACCAAUCCACGCCGUGUUCCACCAGUGAGCUACCAAUCCAUGCCGUGUUCCACCAGUGAACUAAUCUAUGCUUUGCAGCAAUUCCUCACUGACGAUACUGACAUAGACAGUAUCUGCCCUGUGCUACCACCAGCAAACCAUUAUCAUAGGUCUGAAAGUCAUCACAUUUAGGCUGGACAUGGUGGUUCAUGCCUAUAAUCCCAGCCCUUGGGGAGGCCAAGGCAGGAGAAUAACUUGAGGCCAAGAGUUGAAGACCAGCCUGGACAACAUAGUGAGACCCUAUCUCUACAAAAUUCAAAUAAAAUAAAUUAGCCAGGUGUGGUGGCACAAGCCUGUAUUCCCAGUUACUCAGGAAGCUGUGGGAGGAUCACUUGAGCCCAGGAGGUUGAGGCUGCAGUGAGCUGAGAUCACAGCAUUGCACUAUAGCCUGGGUGACAGAGCGAGGUCCUGCCUCAAAAAAAAAAAAAAAAAAAAAAUUCACAUUUUUCUCACACAAAAAAAUCAUGAAACAUUUAUCUGCACACAGCACUAAGAUAGCUACUAUAUUAUGUUCAUUAACUAACACUUGAGAGGCCUAGCACACAUAGGUCUUGGUGAGUCUAAGUCUGAGUGGUACCUAAUUUAGAGAAAAGACAGAGAAGCUAGAUAAUAUAUUCAUCUUAUAUAUGGUCAACAAGUACUGUAUUUUUAAGAAUUUUAAGAAACUGCAGAGUUUGAGAAUUUUAAGAAGCUUCUUCUGAUUAAAUCAGCAUUUCAGGAACUCCUUGAUGGACUUAGCUUUCACCUUACAAUAAUUCUCCAAUCUUUAUGUUGGGAGAAAUAAAUCAGAUUUAGGAUGUGAACAUCUGAUGUGUGUAUAUUUACCUUUUGCUGCAUCACUAGGGAGCAGUUAUUAAGUAUAGUUCUACAAAUCUCAUUAUUGAGGUGGUUUCCGGACCUCUGUGUUGAGGCCUCACAGACAUGCUGCUGUAGAACUUCACUUCCGGCCAGGCGCGGUGGCUCACGCCUGUAAUCCCAGCACUUUGGGAGGCUGAGGCGGGUGGAUCACCUGAAGUCAGGAGUUCGAGACCAGCCUGACCAACGUGGUGAAACCCCGUCUCUACUAAAUACAAAACAAUUAGCCAGACGUGGUGGUGCAUGCCUGUAAUCCCAGCUACUUGGGAGGCUGGAAGGCUGAGGCAGGAGAAUCAUUUGAACCCAGGAGGUGGAGGUUGCAGUGAACCGAGAUUGUGCCAUUGCAUUACAGCCUGGGCGACAAGAGCAAAAACUCUGUCUCAAAAAAAAAAAAAGAAAUAAAUUCACUGCCUUGCUCUCCUCUCUCUGCUCGUUUCUUAGAGAAAGGAUUCCAUUGGAUCUUUUUCUGUUAGACCUUGUGUCACGUAGAAUGAGGCUCUGUGUGAGUAAAAGAAACUUGGCUCCAAU